rnacentral:rRNA from 1 species
AUUGAACGCUGGCGGCAUGCCUAACACAUGCAAGUCGAACGGUAACAGGGGCUUCGGCCCGCUGACGAGUGGCGGACGGGUGAGUAACGCGUAGGAAUCUUCCCAGUAGCGGGGGAUAGCUCGGCGAAAGCCGGAUUAAUACCGCAUACGCCCCACGGGGGAAAGCAGGGGAUCGUGAGACCUUGCACUAUUGGAUGAGCCUACGUCUGAUUAGCUAGUUGGUAGGGUAAAAGCCUACCAAGGCGACGAUCAGUAGCUGGUCUGAGAGGACGAUCAGCCACACUGGGACUGAGACACGGCCCAGACUCCUACGGGAGGCAGCAGUGGGGAAUAUUGGACAAUGGGCGCAAGCCUGAUCCAGCAAUGCCGCGUGUGUGAAGAAGGCCUGCGGGUUGUAAAGCACUUUCAGCGGGGAAG